rnacentral:rRNA from 1 species
UACGGGGGGGGCAAGCGUUGUUCGGAAUUACUGGGCGUAAAGGGUUCGUAGGUGGCCAACUAAGUCAAACGUGAAAUCCCUCAGCUUAACUGGGGAACUGCGUCUGAUACUGGUUGGCUUGAGUGCAGGAGAGGAACGCGGAAUUCCAGGUGUAGCGGUGAAAUGCGUAGAUAUCUGGAGGAACACCGGUGGCGAAGGCGGCGUUCUGGACUGCAACUGACACUGAGGAACGAAAGCCAGGGGAGCAAACGGG